rnacentral:rRNA from 1 species
UCUGCCCAGUAGUGGGGAACGAAACUCCGAGAAAUCGGAGCUAAUACCGCAUACGGUCUGUUGUGAGAGCAACGAGACUAAAGCGAGCAAUCGCGCUAUUGGAGGAACCUGCGGCUGAUUAGCUAGUUGGUGGGGUAAAGGCCUACCAAGGCGACGAUCCGUAGCUGGUCUGAGAGGAUGAUCAGCCACACUGGAACUGAGACACGGUCCAG